rnacentral:rRNA from 1 species
GAGACUCUGUGCGCGUGCAUAUCAAUAAGCGGAGGAAAAGAAACUAACAAGGAUUCCCUUAGUAACGGCGAGUGAAGCGGGAAGAGCUCAAAUUUGAAAUCUUCAAGGUUCUACCUUGACGAAUUGUAGUUUAUAGAAGUGUUUUCUGUUAGUAGAGUGGCAAAAGUUCUUUGGAAUAGGACAUCAUAGAGGGUGAGAAUCCCGUAUUUGGUCAUUCUUUCUAGCUUUGUGAUACACUUUCAACGAGUCGGAUUGUUUGGGAAUGCAGUCCAAAAUGGGUGGUAAAUUUCAUCUAAAGCUAAAUAUUGGCGAGAGACCGAUAGCGAACAAGUACCGUGAGGGAAAGAUGAAAAGAACUUUGAAAAGAGAGUUAAACAGUACGUGAAAUUGUCAAAAGGGAAGCGUUUGACACCAGUGUUGUUUUUCCGAAAAUCAAUUACGAAUGUUUCGUUUUUGAGAAGUUAUGACUUCAUCGGCUUGCUUCUCUCUUUACGAAACUUUCUUAAUGCACUUUUCGGUCAACAAGUCAACAUCAACUUCUUUUGUUGUAAAAGGGUACGAGGAAGGUGGCUUUCUUUUCGGAGAAAGUGUUUAUAGCCUUGUACCUCUGCAAUCGGAGAGAUUGAGGUCUGCAGCGUAGAUCCUUCGGGGUUAGAUACAUUUGUGCUAAGUUAUAGCUUUUCAUAGACAACUUGUUGACUAUGUUUAGUCUUGUAGCUUACUCGCUUAUGCUAUUUUACCUACGCUUAGGAUGUUGAAGAUGUAGCACAUCAU